UUCAAGAGCUGAGGAAAUUGGAGUGAUGAAGUAGUCCACCAUACCAUCUUACUACAGCCUGAGGGCCUGACAGCUCUUUGAGAUGCAUUCAUUGUGCAAGGAGGGCAAAGACCUUGUGAUACAAUCUCUGCAAUCAGAGGGCAAACCUGUCCCUUCCAGUGAGGCCCUGUAGCAGCUCUGUGUAGCCUCCUGGCAUGUGCCCUUUAAUGGAACGUCUCCUUUUGUCUUCAGUAAAUCUGAUAGCAAUCAGGCAGCACACAGGUGAGGUCAUGUUCCUGCUAUGAGGAAAGAUUGCUGUUAGCUACUGGGAUACACUUCUGAACAGACAAUUUUCUUCAGUUUCUUAACUGCCUUUUUACAAUGGAAGUGCAAACUGUUACUAAUAAACCUGAUAGUUUA